UGAGUGCUAGAACUGGUCGAUGGU
rnacentral:siRNA from 1 species